AUUCUCCAUCCCUGCAUUCCUCCAUCGCAGCAUCCCUGCAUGCCUCCGUUCUCUGCAUCCCUCCACCCCAGUAUCCCUGCACCUCUUCAUCCCUCCAUUCCUGCAUCCCUCUAUUUUUCCAUCCCUCCAUUCCUGUAUCCCUGUGCCCUCCAUCCUCCAUCCCAGCAUCCCUCCAUCCCUGCUCCCCACUCUCACUUCCCUUCCCUUCACAGACAGGCUUUUCCUGCCAUCCUCAGACCCCACCCAGGGUUACCUGAUGCCUUUCCAGCUGCACACGGGGACUGACUCACCUCUCUCUUUCUCAGUCCCAAAGUCCCGAAAGAGAGCAUCUGAUGUGGUCAGCUUGUGACAAGGCGUCCACCUUCUGUCCAUGACAUGGAGGCCAGGGGAAGGUCUCACUGCCCAGCACCCCACCCUGUGCUCCCAGGCCUUUUGAAUGUUCCUCCUGCUCAGCCCAGUGACUGCGGGCUGUGGCUCCUCCUCCAGCCUCCCCUCGAGGUCCUGGUCUUACUUAGGAGGCCCCGGGUGUAGAUGCCUUCCCACCCACCAGGCAUUGCCCCUUUUCCUGGCUUCACAGACUCGGGAAUAAAGUUUCCUUCUGUUUCCCCUCUUGCAGAAGGAGAUCCGGUUGGCAGCUAAACCGCGCUGGGAACAGGGGCCUGAGUCCUGGACUAGGGCUCUUUCCCCGGGGCUGCUGCAGAUGGGGAGGAGCCUACACCCGCCUCCCGAGUGCUAAUCAGACCUGACAGGCUGGAGAAUGGCCAGUCAGCCUGAGGCCACCGCGGGACACCACCUAGGCCCAGCUUCUCCCCGCCACCAGAGGGCGCCAGAGCCCGCCAAGCCUCGUAGGAGAUGGCAACAGGGCCUGCUGCUGCCACCUAGCGGCCAAUUCCGGGAAUGAAUCUCGGCACGCUCAUUACCCAGCGACUCUGCCCAUCUGUGACCCUUUAUGUGAAGCAGAACAGCCGCUUCCGCAGUGAGCUGUCAGAAGGCGUCGUGCCUGUCUUGCUAGUGGGGAAACUGAGGCUCAGAGAGGCAGAAGACUUGCCCAAGAUCACACCACCGGGACCCAGGAUUCAAGCGCAGGCCUGCCCAGGCUCUCUGUGGCCUCCUGGCUGCGAGGAGGCAGCCAGGGACCAGGUGCCACCCUUCUGAGGACACCUGAGAUCCCAGGCCCGAGAGGAUGAAGGCGGGAUUACCUGGAGCGUGUCUGAAUGCUGGAGGAAGAAGGGCAGCUGGGAGAUGAAGCUGUCAGGAUGGGCCGCAUCCCAUUUCCUGCCUCGUUUCAGUUCAACUUUCCAACAGACCUCCCUGGCUCGUCUUGCUCUUCUCUAAUGGACAAACAAACAGGCUCAGAGAGGUGGUGUGACUUGCCCAAGGUCACUCAGCUUGGAUGCUAUGGAACAGGGACGUCCACUGUCCCAGUCUGUUUAUGGGAAGCCGCUCUGCAACUGUCCUGACCCACCACAUGCCCCACCGCUGUUUCUCUUGCCCUGACCCCUUGUUCCCUGGACCAGGGUGGCACAGCUCCAGGCUCUUGGGCCCUUCCCGAGGGCAGGCACCUGUGACUGUGUCCCCAAAGACCUGAGUGGCUGAGGGGGCCCCACAGAGCUUGGACUUCCUGGAGGACAAGGAGGGGUCUGCCAGCCACCCCCACCACGCCCGCCCCAGGGCUCCCCUGGAGCUUCCAUGCCAGCCGGACUCAGGUGGGUCUGGAGGAGCACCGUGCCUCCAAUCAGACCUUGAGAUGUGCCCCCUGCCCCCACUGUGCCCUCCCCUGCCCAGGAGUCUGGUUGCAAACCCUGAUUAAGGGGAUUUUAUCUCCACCAGAGGGCCAGUAGGUGGGAAGUAGCUUAAACAAUGCAGGUUUAUAAUCUCACAGUUCUGGAGGUCAAGAGUCUGAAAUGGGCCUCAUGGGGCUAAAACCAAGGUGUCUGCAGGGCUGUGUUCCUUCUGGAGGCUCCAGGGCAGGAAGGGGAGGAUCCACUUCUGUGCCUUUCCAGCUUCUAGAGGCUGCCUGCGUUCCUUGGCUCGUGGCCCCUUCCUCCACCUUCAAGCCAGCAGCGGAGGCCUGAGUCCUUCUCAUGCCAUCUCUCUGUUCUCUCUCCUGCCUCCUCCUCCACACUGAAGGACCCCUGUGAUCACACUGGCCCCCCCACCGGAUGACCCAGGAUAAUCCAUCUCCCUGUUUGAAGGUCGGCUGAUUAGCAACCUUCAUUCCAUCUGCCUCCUUCAUUCCCCCUGGCCAUGUAAUGGGAUUCACAGCUUCUGGGGAUUAGGACAUGGACAUCUUGUGGCGGGGGCAUAAUUCUGUCGACGACACCAAGAAACACUUGGAUGUUAAGGAUUCACCGAACACUGUUCAGGGCUGAGGCAGGAGAAUUGCUUGAACCUGGGAGGCAGAGGUUGCAGUGAGCCGAGAUCAUACCAUUGCACUCCAGCCUGGGCAACAAGAGUGAACCUCCAUCACAAAAAACAAACAACAAAAAAAAUCAGGUAUAAUUACAUACAGUGAAACAUAUGGUGACUCAAGUACACAGUUCAGUGUUUUUUUUGUUUUUGUUUUUUUUUAAGAUGGACUCUUGCUCUGUCGCCCAGGCUGGAGUUCAGUGGCGCGAUCUUGGCUCACUGCAACCUCUGUCUUCCAGGUUCAAGCAAUUCUGCCUCAGCCUCCCAAGUAGCUGGGACUACAAGUGCACGCCACCAUGCCUGGCUAAUUUUUGUAUUUUUAAUAGAGAUGGGGUUUUUUUUUCUUUCUUUUUUUUUUUUUUUGAGACAGGGUCUCACUCUGUCACCCAGGCUGGAGUGCAGUGUCACAAUCUCGGCUCACUGCAACCUCUGCCUCUUGGGUUCAAGCAAUUCUUCUGCCUCAGCCUCCUGAGUAGCUGGUAGCUGGGACUAUAGGCACGUGCCACCACACCCAGUUAAUUUUUUGUAUUUUUAGUAGAGAUGGGGUUUCACCGGGUUAGCCAGGAUGGUCUCAAUCUCUUGACCUCGUGAUCUGCCCGUUUUGGUCUCCCAAAGUGAUGGGAUUACAGGCGUGAGCCACCGCGCCAGGCUGAGAUGGGGUUUCACCACGUUGGCCAGGCUGGUCUGGAACUCCUGACCUCAGGUGAUCCGCCUGCCUUGGACUCCCAAAGUGCUGGGAUUACAGACGUGAGCCACCGUGCCCGGCCAGUUCUAUGAGUUUUGAUGAAUGUGUCCUGCUUCUUCCCAGGCUCCACCAUCUCUUCCCCUAAAGGCAACCACCAUUCUGAUUUCUCUCACCAAAGACUGGAAAAAUAUCCCAAUACCUGGAUGUAUGCCUCACGUGUCCCGCUGGCCCCAGCACCCAGGUAUAGUUAGUUACUGCUGUGCCUGGCUUCACUCUCACUUUUUUUUUUUUUUUCUUUUUUUGAGACAUAGUCUCGCUCUGUAGCCCAGGCUGGAGUGCAGUGUGGCACAAUCUCAGCUCACUGCAACCUUCACCUCCCAGGUUCAAGCGAUUCUCCUGCCUCAGCCUCUCGAGUAGCUGCGACUACAGGUGCCCACCACCACACCUGGCUAAUUUUUGUAUUUUUAGUAGAGAUGGGGUUUCACCUUGUUGGCCAGGCUGGUCUCGAACUCCUGACCUCAAGUGAUCCACCUGCCUCAGCCUCCCAAGGUGCUGGGAUUGCAGGCCGGCCUUACCUGGUAUGGUUUUUAGGUUCAUGUUGAUGCCUGGAGUUUCAGUAAUUCCCUCCCAUUCGUUGCUGAGUAGCACUGCAACACAUGCAGGCAGCUAUUUGGGGAUCUUUUCACCUGUUGAUGGGUGUCUGGACUGUUUCCAGUUUUUGGCUGUUACAAAUGAAGCCUCUGUGAGCCACGU
rnacentral:lncRNA from 1 species